UUCUUCCUCUGCCAUAGCAUUUUUCAGCUGCCUGUUUGCAAAAUUACAGCAGUUGAAUAAACAUCUCUGUCUUUGCUAAUGAAAUGAGGAGAUUCGCAGUACACAGGUACGCAGGCUAUGCAAAUGUAUUAACAUGUCUCUCUGUGUGUACCAGAAAGCCGUCGUUUUGGUCCAUUUCCUACGGCCUUCCAGAAAGAGAGUAGUCAAGGUAGCCCAGCUAAAGACCUUCAUGCUGUCUCAGGCCAGCAAGCUUGGAGCAGAGCUGGAGAGGACAUCAUCUUGCAGGCAUUUCCGCACCCACCUAUCUUUGUACCUGCCGCAGUGCUUGGGCCUCCCCCAACUUAUCUCCCAGACUUAUGUUAUUCCUCACUUGGUCCUCACACCCAAUCGGUG